GUGAACGCCCUCACGGGCUUAUAACUAUUCCAAACCUCUGUGAACCGUGCCCUUCGGGGCUAUUUUACAAACAUGGUGUAAUGAACGCCAUAUAUCAUAACAAAACA
rnacentral:misc_RNA from 1 species